rnacentral:tRNA from 12 species
GCGCCCGUAGCUCAGUUGGAUAGAGCAACGGCCUUCUAAGCCGUGGGUCGCAGGUUCGAAUCCUGCCGGGUGCGCCA